rnacentral:rRNA from 1 species
ACGGAAGGCAGCAGUGGGGAAUAUUGCACAAUGGGGGAAACCCUGAUGCAGCGACGCCGCGUGAGUGAUGAAGUAUUUCGGUAUGUAAAGCCCUAUCAGCAGGGAAGAUAAUGACGGUACCUGACUAAGAAGCACCGGCUAAAUACGUGCCAGCAGCCGCGGUAAUACGUAUGGUGCAAGCGUUAUCCGGAUUUACUGGGUGUAAAGGGUGCGUAGGCGGCAUGGCAAGUCAGAUGUGAAAUACCGGGGCUCAACCCCGGGGCUGCAUUUGAAACUGCCAGGCUGGAGUACAGGAGAGGCAAGCGGAAUUCCUAGUGUAGCGGUGAAAUGCGUAGAUAUUAGGAGGAACACCAGUGGCGAAGGCGGCUUACUGGACGAUAACUGACGCUGAGGCUCGAAAGCGUGGGGAGCAAACAGGAUUAGAUACCCUGGUA